UACGGGGGGGGGCAAGCGUUGUUCGGAAUUACUGGGCGUAAAGGGCCAGUAGGCGGCCAACUAAGUCGGACGUGAAAUCCCCAGGCUCAACCUGGGAACUGCGUCCGAUACUGGAUGGCUUGAAUUCGGGAGAGGGAUGCAGAAUUCCAGGUGUAGCGGUGAAAUGCGUAGAUAUCUGGAGGAAUACCGGUGGCGAAGGCGGCAUCCUGGACCGACAUUGACGCUGAACGGCGAAAGCUAGGGGAGCAAACGGG
rnacentral:rRNA from 1 species